CAAGGAAUUUUGCGCAAUGGGCGAAAGCCUGACGCAGCGACGCCGCGUGGGGGAUGACGGCCUUCGGGUUGUAAACCCCUUUUCCCAAGGAAGAAUAAUGACGGUACUUGGGGAAUAAGUCUUGGCUAACUACGUGCCAGCAGCCGCGGUAAUACGUAGAAGGCGAACGUUAUUCGGAUUUACUGGGCGUAAAGCGGGCUAAGACGGUUCCUUAAGUCGGGUGUGAAAUCUCCUGACUCAAUUGGGAGAGGUCAUUCGAUACUAAGGGACUUGAGGACGGCAGAGGAAAGCGGAACUCCCGGUGUAGCGGUGAUAUGCGUAGAUAUCGGGAGGAACACCAGUGGCGAAGGCGGCUUUCUAGGUCGUACCUGACGUUGAGGCCCAAAAGCGUGGGGAGCGAAACG
rnacentral:rRNA from 1 species